rnacentral:rRNA from 1 species
AGGGCGUCUGGGGGAUGCCUAAGGCUUCUGAUGGCGAUGAAGGACGUGGCAAGCGACGAAACGUUUAGGGGACCCGCUGGCAGGGGCUGAUCCUAAAGUGUCCGAAUGGGGCAACCCAUCAUGUUGAAGACAUGAUACCCUACGGGGGGCAAACGCGGAGAACUGAAACAUCUAAGUACCCGCAGGAAGAGAAAACAAUUGUGAUUCCCUGAGUAGUGGCGAGCGAACGGGGAAUAGCCCAAACCAGUUACGUUACGGCGUAGCCGGGGUUGUAGGACCCGACAUCAAAUCAACAAACGAACGGAAAGCGCGUGGGAAAGCGCACCACAGAGGGUGAGAGUCCCGUACCGGUCAGGGCGUUGGUGGGUUGGGGAUCCUGAGUAGGGGGGAACCGGAGAAAUUCCCUCUGAAUUUGCCGGCACCAUCCGGUAAGGCUAAAUACAAUCAGAAGACCGAUAGCGCAGAGUACCGUGAGGGAAAGGUGAAAAGUACGGGGAGUACCCGGGUGAAAUAGAUCCUGAAACCAGGCGCUUACAAGCGGUUGGAGCGUCCAGUGUGGCGUGACAGCGUGCCUUUUGCAUAAUGAGCCUACGAGUAACCGUCACUGGCGAGGUUAACCACAUGGAUGUGGGGAUCCGAAGCGAAAGCGAGUCUGAACAGGGCGCUGAGUCAGUGGGGGUUGACGCGAAACUUGGUGAUCUACCCGUGGCCAGGCUGAAGGGGUGGUAACACACCGUGGAGGGCCGAACCGAUAAGCGUUGAAAAGCUUCCGGAUGAGCUGCGGGUAGGGGUGAAAGGCCAAUCAAACUGAGAAAUAGCUCGUACUCUCCGAAAUGUUUUUAGGAACAGCGUUACGUGUUACUGUCUGUGAGGUAGAGCGACCAACAGGAUGCGGGGGAGUCACAUCCUACCAACUUCUGAUGAACUCCGAAUGCGCAGAGAGGUGCGUGGCAGUGAGGGGCAGGGUGCUAAGGUCCUGCUCCGAGAGGGGAACAACCCAGACCAUCAUCUAAGGUCCCCAAGUGUGUGCUAAGUUGAACAAAGGCGGUCCGGCUGCUGAGACAGCCAGGAGGUUAGCUUGGAAGCAGCUAUUCCUUUAAAGAGUGCGUAACAGCUCACUGGUCGAGCGGGGCGGGCGUCGAUAAUAAACGGGCAUCAAGCACAUCACCGAAGAUAUGGACAUACACUUAGAGUGUAUUGUGGUAGGAGAGCAUUCCAUGGGGGGUGAAGUUGUCGCGUGAGCGGUGGUGGACCGCAUGGAAAAGCAAAUGUAGGCAUAAGUAACGAGAAUGAGGAUGAGAACUCCUCACACCGAAAAGCUAAGGUUUCCUCCGCGAUGGCAGUCAUCGGAGGGUUAGUCGGGGUCUAAGGAGCAGGCGAAGGCCGGGAUCUGAGGGGGAAGUGGUUAAUAUUCCACUACUAUCUAUACAGGCAAUAACCAUGACGGAGUGCCGGAGGUGUUACGUCCUGACGGAAUAGGGCGUUGAGCGGAUUCUUCGGAAGAAGCGAAAGACUGAAGGGGCUUCCAAGAAAAGUGGUGCGCGUUAAGCGUAUGGAUACCCGUACCGUAAACCGACACAGGUAGCUGGGAAGAAUAUUCUAAGGUGCGCGAAAGAAUCAUGGUUAAGGAACUCGGCAAAAUUACCCUGUAACUUCGGGAUAAGGGGGGCCUACCUCAGUGAUGAGGAGGCUGCAGAGAAGACGCCCAGGCGACUGUUUACCAAAAACACAGGACUCUGCCAAAAUGAAAGUUGACGCAUAGGGUCUGACACCUGCCCGGUGCUGGAAGGUUAAGGGGGGAGCUUAGUCGCAAGGCGAAGGUUUGAACUGAAGCCCCAGUAAACGGCGGCCGUAACAAUAACGGUCCUAAGGUAGCGAAAUUCCUUGUCGGGUAAGUUCCGACCCGCACGAAUGGCGUAACGAUGGCGGCGCUGUCUCCACCCGAGACUCAGUGAAAUUGAAAUCGCUGUGAAGAUGCAGUGUAUCCGCGGCUAGACGGAAAGACCCCGUGAACCUUUACUAUAGCUUUGCACUGGACUUUGAGCUUGCUUGUGUAGGAUAGGUGGGAGGCUUUGAAGCGGUGCCGCUAGGUGUCGUGGAGCCAACGUUGAAAUACCACCCUGGUGUGUUUGAGGUUCUAACCU